rnacentral:rRNA from 1 species
AUAUAUUCCCGUACCGGCUUUCAGCCGCCAAAACCGAGGCUUGGAGUACUAACCUCCGGGUCCGGGCUUACUGCUCCUUCGGGGGCGGGAUGCCCUGGCCUGUUGGGACCGAUCCUUGUAGUAGGUCAGCGCAGGAGUGACGCAGAAGGGUAGCCGGCCGCGGAGGUGGUCUUCCGUGGUCAAGCACGCAGGGCGUGGGACAGGCAAAUCCGUCCCGCAUGGGUCCGAGGUGCGAUGAUGGGGGCCUUAUGGCCCGAUAUCCGGUGAUCCCGGCUGCCGAGAAAAGCUUCGGCGUCAGGCUCAAAGCCGCCCGUACCCCAAACCGACACUGGUGGUCAGGUAGAGAAUACCAAAGCGAUCGAGCGAAUCCUGGUCAAGGAACUCGGCAAAUCACUCCCGUUCCUUCGGUUUAAGGGAGACCCCCGAUGGUGAACACACUUGCUGUGGGAGCUUUUGGGGGUGGCACAGACCAGGGGGUAGCGACUGUUUACCAAAAACACAGGUGCAUGCGAAGGCGCAAGCCGCUGUAUAUGCACUGACGCCUGCCCGGUGCCGGAAGGUUAAGAGGAUCCGUCAGCCUUCGGGUGAAGCGGUGAAUUCAAGCCCCGGUAAACGGCGGUGGUAACAAUAACCAUCCUAAGGUAGCGAAAUUCCUUGUCGGGUAAGUUCCGACCUGCACGAAUGGCGUAACGACUUCCCCACUGUCUCGACCAGGAGCUCGGCGAAAUUGCAGUACGAGUAAAGAUGCUCGUUAAGCGCAGAAGGACGAAAAGACCCCGGGACCUUUACUAUACCUUGGUAUUGGCAUUCGGUGUGGAUUGUGUAGCAUAGGCGGGAGGCCGAGAGGCGCGGUCGCCAGAUCGCGCGGAGCCGUAAGGUGAAAUACCGCUCUGUUCGCAUUGGAUGUCUAACCUCGAACAGUCAUCCUGUUCAGGGACAGUGCCUGGCGGGUAGUUUAACUGGGGCGGUUGCCUCCCAAAGAGUAACGGAGGCGCCCAAAGGUCCGCUCAGCCCGGUUGGCAAUCGGGUGGCGAGUGCAAGUGCACAAGCGGGCUUGACUGCGAGGACGACGGUCCGAGCAGGGACGAAAGUCGGGACUAGUGAUCCGGUGCCGGUGUACGGACGCGGCAUCGCUCAACGGAUAAAAGGUACCCCGGGGAUAACAGGCUGAUCAUUCCCAAGAGUCCAUAUCGACGGGAUGGUUUGGCACCUCGAUGUCGGCUCGUCGCAUCCUGGGGCUGGAGCAGGUCCCAAGGGUUCGGCUGUUCGCCGAUUAAAGCGGCACGCGAGCUGGGUUCAGAACGUCGUGAGACAGUUUGGUCUCUAUCCUCUGCGCUCGUUGGAAUGCUGAGGAGGCCUGCCCAUAGUACGAGAGGACCUGGGUGGACGAACCUCUGGUAUGCCGGUUGUCACGCCAGUGGCACGGCCGGUUGGCUACGUUCGGAAGGGAUAACCGCUGAAAGCAUCUAAGCGGGAAGCCUGCUCCAAGAUAAGCAUUCCGUGGAACCUUCGAGUUCCUGUAGUCCCCAUGCAGAACACGUGGUCGAUAGGCCGGACGUGGAAGCCCCGCGAGGGGUGGAGCCGACCGGUACUAACGGACGAAAGGU